rnacentral:rRNA from 1 species
CCUACGGGGGGCAGCAGUAGGGAAUCUUCCACAAUGGGCGAAAGCCUGAUGGAGCAACGCCGCGUGGGUGAAGAAGGUCUUCGGAUCGUAAAACCCUGUUUUUAGAGAAGAAAGCGCGUGAGAGUAACUGUUCACGUGUCGACGGUAUCUAACCAGAAAGCCUCGGCUAACUCCGUGCCAGCAGCCGCGGUAAUACGUAGGUGGCAAGCGUUAUUCGGAUUUAUUGGGCGUAAAGGGAACGCAGGCGGUCUUUUAAGUCUGAUGUGAAAGCCUUCGGCUUAACCGGAGUAGUGCAUUUGAAACUGGGAGACUAGAGUGCAGAAGAGGAGAGUGGAA